rnacentral:rRNA from 1 species
UGGGGAGCGAACAGGAUUAGAUACCCUGGUAGUCCACGCCGUAAACGGUGGAUGCUGGAUGUGGGGACCAUUCCACGGUCUCCGUGUCGGAGCCAACGCGUUAAGCAUCCCGCCUGGGGAGUACGGCCGCAAGGCUAAAACUCAAAGAAAUUGACGGGGGCCCGCACAAGCGGCGGAGCAUGCGGAUUAAUUCGAUGCAACGCGAAGAACCUUACCUGGGCUUGACAUGUUCCCGACAGCCSYAGAGAURSGGYYUCCCUUCGGGGCGGGUUCACAGGUGGUGCAUGGUCGUCGUCAGCUCGUGUCGUGAGAUGUUGGGUUAAGUCCCGCAACGAGCGCAACCCUCGCCCUGUGUUGCCAGCACGUCRUGGUGGGAACUCACGGGGGACCGCCGGGGUCAACUCGGAGGAAGGUGGGGAUGACGUCAGAUCAUCAUGCCCCUUACGUCCAGGGCUUCACGCAUGCUACAAUGGCCGGUACAACGGGAUGCGACACCGCGAGGUGGAGCGGAUCCCUUAAAACCGGUCUCAGUUCGGAUUGGAGUCUGCAACCCGACUCCAUGAAGGCGGAGUCGCUAGUAAUCGCGGAUCAGCAACGCCGCGGUGAAUGCGUUCCCGGGCCUUGUACACACCGCCCGUCAAGUCAUGAAAGUGGGUAGCACCCGAAGCCGGUGGCCCAACCUUUUGGGGGGAGCCGUCUAAGGUGAGACUCGUGAUUGGGACUAAGUCGUAACAAGGUAGCCGUACCGGAAGGUGCGGCUG